rnacentral:rRNA from 1 species
GGUUGAUGCUAGCGGUGCGCCUAACACAUGCAAGUCGAGCGGGAUUUGAUUAUAGCUUGCUACAAUUAAUGAGAGCGGCGAACGGGUGAGUAAUAUGUGAGCAAUCUGCCCUUCUCAUCGGAAUAAGCGCGGGAAACUGCGUCUAAUGCCGAAUAUGACGUUCUUUCGCAUGUCAGAACGUGGAAAGCUCCGGCGGAGAAGGAUGAGCUCGCGGCCUAUCAGCUUGUUGGUGAGGUAAUGGCUCACCAAGGCAUUGACGGGUAGCCGGCCUGAGAGGGUGACCGGCCACACUGGGACUGAGACACGGCCCAGACUCCUACGGGAGGCAGCAGUGGGGAAUAUUGGACAAUGGGCGAAAGCCUGGUCCAGCAACGCCGCGUGAGGGAUGACGGCCUUCGGGUUGUAAACCUCUUUCAGCGGGGACGAAGCGAAAGUGACGGUACCCGCAGAAGAAGGACCGGCCAACUACGUGCCAGCAGCCGCAGUAA